rnacentral:lncRNA from 1 species
CCCUGCUCUCUAUCUUGCUCUUGCUGCGGCCAUCUAAGAUGUGCCUGCUUCUCUUUCACCUUCCACCGUGAUUGAAAAUUUCCUGAGUCCUCCUGACAAGCCGCUCUGCAUCCUGUACAGCUUGCAGAACUUUCUCAAAAGUAAGUGAGCUGUUCCUAAACCUAUUGGGUCUAGAAGUGGUCUCAGUUUAUGGGCAGCUGACGAUGUCUCACUAUGAAGAACUUGUCCUGAUGGUGUGCAGCUGCUGAAGAUGUAUAGCAGGGAUCUUCCAUGGGAGGUCCAAGAAGGCUGAUAUCUUCCAGGCUUGCCUAUAGGUAUAUGUGGCUCACAUGCCAAGAUGGGAACAAGUAAGUCUGAGCUUGGAGAACGUUUGAUACUGCUAAGCAGAGAAGAACCAGGGACUGUGCUCCUUCUACUUAUAAAGGAAUAAAAUUAACUGUAAAGCAUCCUUGGGCAGGUCCUUCAGGAGGUAUUCCGGAAGAGGGCAUUGUUAUCAUAGGAGAUGACAGCUCCAUCCUGUUACUGCCCCAAAGACCUUCCAGUGGGACAAGAUGUGGAGGUAGAAGACAGUGAUAUUAAUGAUCCUGACUCUGCGUAGGCCUAGGCUAAUGUGUGUGUGUCUUAGUUUUUAAAAAAGUUUAAAAAGUAAAAGACAAUUUAAAAAUUUUUAUUAGAAUAAAGCUUACAAAAUAAAGAUAUAAAGAAAG